CCUACGGGGGGCAGCAGUGGGGAAUAUUUGGCAAUGGGCGCAAGCCUGACCCAGCAACGCCGCGUGAAGGAAGAAGGCUCUCGGGUUGUAAACCUCUUUUGUCAGGGACGAAGCAAGUGACGGUACCUGACGAAUAAGCAACGGCUAACUACGUGCAAGCAGCCGCGGGAAUACGUAGGUGGCAAGCGGUAUUCGGAGUUACUGGGGGUAAAGGGCGUGUAGGCGGGACUGCAAGUCAGCUGUGAAAACCACGGGCUCAACCUGUGGCCUGCAGUUGAAACUGUAGGUCUUGAGUACUGGAGGGGCAGACGGAAGUCCUGGUGUAGCGGUGAAAUGCGUAGAUAUUAGGAGGAACACCAGUGGCGAAGGCGGUCUGCUGGACAGCAACUGACGCUGAGGCGCGAAAGCGUGGGGAGCAAACAGGAUUAGAUACCCGUGUAGUC
rnacentral:rRNA from 1 species